CGAGUCGGUCGGGCGACCGCGGUGACGGGAACGGGCACAUCGGUGUCGCCGCCCGCCACCGAGGAAAGUCCGGACUCCACAGAGCAGGGCGGUUGUUAACGGCAACCCGGGGUGACCCGCGGGACAGUGCCACAGAAAACAAACCGCCGCACGCCCAACGUGCGGUAAGGGUGAAACGGUGCGGUAAGAGCGCACCAGCGCCCCGGGUGACCGGGGCGGCUAGGUAAACCCCGCCCGGAGCAAGGUCGAAGGCCGCACCGGCGACGGUGCGGCUGCGCAGGUGUUCGAGGGCUGCUCGCCCGAGCCUGCGGGUGGACCGCUCGAGGCACCCGGCGACGGUGUGUCCAGAUGGAUGGUCGCCCCCCGGCGCGAGCCGGGGACAGGAUCCGGCUUACAGGCCGGCUCGCCCG
rnacentral:RNase_P_RNA from 1 species